UCGAGAGUCUGUACCCCCUUUGCGGCGGUGUACAGCUCAUACCAUACCCUUAUUUAUGCGUACCCUUUGUUAUUUCCUCGGCGGGGACGCCCGUCGAUAGGAAGCCCACCAAAACCUAUUGCAUUAGCAUUAACACUUCUGAGCGUAACCUAAAUAUUUA
rnacentral:misc_RNA from 1 species